CCUACGGGAGGCUGCAGUGAGGAAUAUUGGUCAAUGGACGAGAGUCUGAACCAGCCAAGUAGCGUGAAGGAUGAAUGCCCUAUGGGUUGUAAACCUCUUUUAUAAGGGAAUAAAACGAGGCACGCGUGCCCUUUUGCCUGUACCUUAUGAAUAAGGAUCGGCUAACUCCGUGCCAGCAGCCGCGGUAAUACGGAGGAUCCGAGCGUUAUCCGGAUUUAUUGGGUUUAAAGGGGGCGUAGAGGGGCUGUUAAGUCAGUUGUUAAAGGGUGGGGCUCAACCCUAACAUUGCCAUUGAUAUUGGCAGUCUUGAGUACAGGAGAGGUAGGCGGAAUACGUGGUGUAGCGGUGAAAUGCUUAGAUAUCACGAAGAACCCCGAUUGCGAAGGCAGCUUACCAGACCGAGACUGACGCUGAUGCACGAAAGUGUGGGUAUCGAACAGGAUUAGAUACCCCAGUAGUC
rnacentral:rRNA from 1 species